rnacentral:rRNA from 1 species
AGUGAACGCUGGCGGUAGGCCUAACACAUGCAAGUCGAACGGCAGCACAGUAAGAGCUUGCACUUACGGGUGGCGAGUGGCGGACGGGUGAGGAAUACAUCGGAAUCUACUUUUUCGUGGGGGAUAACGUAGGGAAACUUACGCUAAUACCGCAUACGACCUAUGGGUGAAAGCAGGGGAUCUUCGGACCUUGCGCGAUUGAAUGAGCCGAUGUCGGAUGAGCUAGUUGGCGGGGUAAAGGCCCACCAAGGCGACGAUCCGUAGCUGGUCUGAGAGGAUGAUCAGCCACACUGGAACUGAGACACGGUCCAGACUCCUACGGGAGGCAGCAGUGGGGAAUAUUGGACAAUGGGCGCAAGCCUGAUCCAGCCAUACCGCGUGGGUGAAGAAGGCCUUCGGGUUGUAAAGCCCUUUUGUUGGGAAAGAAAAGCAGCAGGUUAAUACCCCGCUGUUCUGACGGUACCCAAAGAAUAAGCACCGGCUAACUUCGUG